GACGAACGCUGGCGGCGUGCUUAACACAUGCAAGUCGAACGGAGUGGCGAACGGGCGAGUAACACGUGGGUGAACUGCCCUGCACUUCGGGAGAAGCCUGGGAAACUGGGUCUAAUACCGGAGAGUGUGGGAUGGGCCCGGGGCCUAUCAGCUUGUUGGUGGGGUAAUGGCCUACCAAGGCGGCGACGGGUAGCCGGCCUGAGAGGGUGGACGGCCACAUUGGGACUGAGACACGGACCAGACUCCUACGGGAGGCAGCAGUGGGGAGUAUUGCGCAAUGGGCGGAAGGCUGAUGCAGCGACGCCGCGUGGGGGAUGACGGCCUUCGGGUUGUAAACGCCUUUAACCAUAGACGCGGUAGAUGGAGAAGAAGCACCGGCUAACUACGUGCCAGCAGCCGCGGUAAUUC
rnacentral:rRNA from 1 species